rnacentral:lncRNA from 1 species
AAUAAGUUCAUACAACUCCAAGAAUAUAAAAUUAAAAUAUAAAAUCCUUGGCCCUUUGUUAGGGCUGCAUCCAGCCCUAGAGAGGAGAUCAGCCUUUCAUAGAGUUGUGGGCAACAACAGUGAAGAAGGAUGAAGACGGCAUGGUUGGUGUCUUCAGUCGGAGAAGGAAGCGUGAUGAGGCGAUGGUAGAAGAAGCUCUGUUUCCCCCUCCCCUCCUUCGUUCCAUUUCAUUUUUUUCUUUCCAUGGGAAGUCUUCCCAUAAUACCCAAACUUUUCUCUCCCUCUAGUCUUCUAUGGGAUUUGGCCUAUGAGCUCCUGAUGGGGAAGAAUAAUGGAACGGAAGAGAAUGGGUGAGAAGAAUGCCUUCAUGGGAUCCGUCUCCUCCCCUUUUAUAGCCUUCACCAGCCUCUGUUAUUGUGCGGAGGAUAAGCUUCCCGAGUGAAGAGAUAAGGGUAGAGGAACGGCUGUCGCAUGCGUGGAAGAUUUGGACGACGAGAUUGGAGCCGAUCCGGAAGUUGGAAGAAGAUAAGCUGGAUGCCGAUUGAUCCUUGGAUGCAGGGAAUAGCAAGGAGAUUGGGAGGAGCUGGAUUCGGUGAAUCAUGCAGAAGAAGCCUUGAAUCGCGGACGGCUGCUGGCUGUGAUCCGCGGACGUGAAGAAUCCGGAAGAAGCUGAUCCGUGAUGAAGAGGAGAUGGUUGCCGAGUUUGCCGGUCUGUGAAGCUCGGGAGGAUGAAGCCAGAUCACGGAUAAAGCUGGGAAUCCUUCGGCUGAAAACAGGGAUGAUGUUCACGGCUGGGAGGAACUCGUGGAUGAGAGCUGGACGCAGGGGGAUGAAAUGGCUGGAUGCGAGCUAGGAACCGAUCCGUGAAUCUGGGAAGAUAAACUCGAUCGCAGAGCUGUGGAGGACGUGAUCUGAUCCUAACGGGGAGUUCGGAAUCCAUGGAUGCUAGAGAUCAAGCUCCCUUGCUCCGUUCUGUUUCCGUGAAAUUUGGGAAGAGGGAUUGGAAGCUAUGACACGGGAGAUUGGCUCUGUUUUGAUGCUAAAACAGGGGAGGAAAGGAUUGUGUGAGGCUGAGAGAAUCUCGGCUGGGAAGAGGUGAUCCGAAAGAAUGUUGGAUUCGUUUGACUGGGUUCUAUUCGUGGGAGAAUAAGCUCGGGAUUUGGAGGAGACCAUGGAUGUUGAGAUGAAUCCGUAGAUGAUUCGGCUGAUGGUUGGUCCGUGGGAUAAGGCUGCUUUGAAUAUAGGAUGGAACGGUAUUAGCUUCGUUCGUGGGACAUGGGAGGAAGCUCGGAGAGCUUGGGAUGAGCUUGAUUCGGAAGAUGAAGAUAAGAUGAGCUGGAGGAUACGUGAACGGGAAGAUAAGGAUGAACCGAGAUAGAAGGAGGGCUAGGGAGUUGGAAUGCGGAAGAGAUGAAGCUGGAUGCUUGGGACUCGGCUGGCAGCUGAUCAGAAAGGGGCCUUGAAUCGCAGAUGUGUUCUCGGCUGAGAUGGGUUGCUGGGAUUCUGGGAAGUUUGUGGGAUUUGUUUUUAUCCCGUGGAGAUGGAACUGGGUGCGAAGAUCAUGGGAUCUACGGAGAGAACGACAUGGAAUGGCUGCGAUGUGAAGCAGGGGAGAAGCUUGUCCGUGGAGUUAGUCCGAGCAGGAUGUCAGGAAGAACACUCGGGAUUAGCAUGGGAGGUCGGGAUGUUGAUGCAGGGGCGGCCCAAGCCUUAGGCGACCUAGGCGGUCGCCCAAGGCCCCGGCUCGAGAGAAGGCCCCGCGACGGCAUCCUACGCUCUACCCUCCCAG